CAGAAAUUUUCCAAAGUAGAUUUUUGAAUUUUUUUCAGUACCAUGUGUCUAUUGAAGACUCAAGUUGGAGGUUGGAUCAUCUGGCUUAGGAAUACAUGGAGGCGAACGACAAGAAGAAUAUCGAGAUGUAGGAAAUAGGCCAUGAUCUACAUGUAUUGAUGCCUUGAUAAUGGCAGGUCUUGCAAGUACUUUAAUAUAUGUUAAUUAGAGGUUAGAGCUAUGAAGUUAUACCUCAGAACUUGGGGUAAUGGCAUGUGAAUUGCAGUGGUUUGAGUACUGCUAAGAGCAUACAUUUCAUCAAUCUGGAAUGCAUAUUUAUUUAAUUUAGUUCAUAAUGAGGAAGUGAAACAAGAACCGUGUUGGCGAUUUUUUUGGAGUUUCAAAGAUAACAACGAAAAGAGUAGAAGGAAUGAGGAUGACGAUAAAUCAUAAUGGUGUCGUUUGGAUGGAGGAGCAAACCAGAAGGCAAUUUGUAGAUGCCAUUAGAUGCAGCACCUGGCGUGUUCAGAUUGUAGAACAUGGUGGUGGGAUGAUGCUGGCAGGAGGAAAAGAGGGAUGCAAUUUCUAAAGGUUUAUAUUUACUGCUUUGAGGAUGACAUGUAUGGAAUUUCGCAAUGGUACUAUGUGUCGUAUAGUUAUAGUUUAGGCUUUCGACUACGGCCUGCUCAGGUAGUACGCGUUGCAACAGGUGUAUCGGGUGACACAGGGGAUGAGAGUUUGACGGCUUUAAGGUCCGUGACCAAUGACCUCCUCCCACCUUCAGAAAAACUGUUCUCGCGUGGAAACAUGGUUCUGAAAGAUCACACCUGUUGUAAUCUCAAAUGAAAUAAGCAUACAGCCAGCUGUUGGUGCACAUGGAAAUGGAAGAUCUUUGGUCAAUUCAAUCUUCUCUUUACCUUUGAUGGGAACUCACUGAAUAAUAUGGACGUGCUUACUUGGAUAGAGAAGAUGGUAAGUUAGAUCAAUCAUCUUGGGAGAGGUUUCUUAUCCGACAGAAUCCGACUAGACUAAUACUUCUCAUUAUAUUUAACUGAUGUGGCAAAUAUGAAAAGUGCAAAAGAAAAGUGUGGCAAAUGUGCAGCCCCCUUUAAGUAACAUGAGUCUUUGUCUGAAUAUUAUAUUAUAUUAAAUGUGUCUUGGAAAAGAAAUUGAGGAUCUAUUAUAUUAAA